CGAAGGAUCCAAGCGUUAUCCGGAUUUAUGGGUUUAAAGGGUGCGUAGGCGGCUUAUUAAGUCAGUGGUGAAAGCUCCAUGCUUAACAUGGAAAUUGCCAUUGAUACUGAUGAGCUUGAGUACACUUGAAGUGGGCGGAAUAUGUCAUGUAGAGGUGAAAUUCUUAGAGAUGACAUAGAACACCGAUUGCGAAGGCAGCUCACUAAAUUGUAACUGACGCUGAGGCACGAAAGCGUGGGGAUCAGACAGGAUUAGAUACCCUGGUAGUCCACGCCCUAAACGAUGAUUACUAGAUGUGUGCAAUAUACCGUACGCGUCACAGCUAAAGCGUUAAGUAAUCCACCUGGGGAGUACGGCCGCAAGGCUG
rnacentral:rRNA from 1 species